rnacentral:rRNA from 1 species
UACGUAGGGUGCAAGCGUUGUCCGGAAUUAUUGGGCGUAAAGAGCUCGUAGGCGGUCUGUCGCGUCGAUCGUGAAAACUUGGGGCUUAACCCUGAGCUUGCGGUCGAUACGGGCAUGACUGGAGUUCGGCAGGGGAGACUGGAAUUCCUGGUGUAGCGGUGAAAUGCGCAGAUAUCAGGAGGAACACCGGUGGCGAAGGCGGGUCUCUGGGCCUAUACUGACGCUGAGGAGCGAAAGCGUGGGGAGCGAACAGG